rnacentral:rRNA from 1 species
UACGUAGGGUGCAAGCGUUGUCCGGAAUUAUUGGGCGUAAAGAGCUCGUAGGCGGUUUGUUGCGUCGGCUGUGAAAUCCCGAGGCUCAACCUCGGGUCUGCAGUCGAUACGAGCAAACUAGAGUGUUGCAGGGGAGACUGGAAUUCCUGGUGUAGCGGUGAAAUGCGCAGAUAUCAGGAGGAACACCGGUGGCGAAGGCGGGUCUCUGGGCAACAACUGACGCUGGAGGAGCGAAAAGCCGUGGGGAGCGAACAGG